CUUAGUCCUAGCCAGACGCUCUCAGGUUUCCAGGCUUCACUUAUGUCCGCUCCUCCUCACUGGGUCUCAGUCCCUAUUCCUCCUGUCAGUCCAGCCUAGUGCUCUUCGCGCGAAAGUACUCCCUACACUCCAUUUCCAGUUCCCGCCCCUCGUUCAGUCUCGCCCCCUCACUCUCCCAGCCCAAUUAGGACUCUUUCGUUCUCAGGCCCUGCCUCUUAAGGUCCGCCCUGCCGCGCGACAAAGCAAAGUUAGGGACCCAAGCCGACUGUCUCCAUCCGCCCCUCCCCACCCGGUCCUGCUUGCCAGCUCUUUAGGUCCUUUCUCUGUCCAAUCAGGACCGUCUCCCCCAUGCCAGUCAGAAAUCUUUAAAUAGUUUGGAUGUGUCCCUUUCCUCUGCGGCACCCGCUCCUUUUUUCAGUUCAAUCAGAUCUCAUAUCUAGUCCCACCUCCCCCGUUUUCCCGGUGCGGCCCAGCCCCGCAGCGUUAGUUGCCGGUCCCGCCCCCUUAACACCUCGCUCCGCCCGCCCCUUCUCUCGGAAAGAUCCAAUCGGUGUGAUUCACCUGCAGCCCCGCCCGGUCCAGCUCGGCCGUGCGGAGUCCCCGACCUUCUAGCGGCCUCAGCCCCGCCCUACCUCCCCCAGACCAAUCAGUUCUGUUCCUCCCCUACCGCGGCCCCGCCCCCUCCACUAGUCGCCUCCUCCACCCAAUCCUGUCUGCCUCUCCCCCUGCGGCCCCGCCCCCCACGCCCCGCCCCUCCCGCCCCGCCCCCCGUCCAAUGCUGAGCUCAGUCUGCGUCUCGUCCUUCCGCGGGCGCCAGGGGGCCAGCAAGCAGCAGCCGGCGCCACCGCCGCAGCCGCCCGAGUGCCCGCCGCCGCUGCCCCCGCCGCCGUCCCCGCCGCCGCUGCAGCAGCAGCAGUCUGCGCAGCCCGGCCCCGCCGCGUCCUCGGCGGGCCCCCCGGCACCUCGCGGGCCCGGGGGCCGGCGCGCCGAGCCAUGCCCCGGGCUGCCGGCGGCGGCCAUGGGGCGGCACGGCGGCGGCGGUGGCGACAGCGGCAAGAUCGUGAUCAACGUGGGCGGCGUGCGCCAUGAGACGUACCGCUCGACGCUGCGCACCCUGCCGGGGACGCGGCUGGCCGGCCUGACGGAGCCCGAGGCGGCGGCGCGCUUCGACUACGAUCCCGGCGCUGACGAGUUCUUCUUUGACCGGCACCCGGGAGUCUUCGCCUACGUGCUCAACUACUACCGCACAGGCAAGCUGCACUGUCCGGCCGACGUGUGCGGGCCGCUUUUCGAGGAGGAGCUCGGCUUCUGGGGCAUCGACGAGACCGACGUGGAGGCCUGCUGCUGGAUGACCUACCGGCAGCACCGCGACGCCGAAGAGGCGCUCGACUCCUUCGAGGCUCCGGACCCAGCGGGCGCAGCCAACGCCGCCAACGCCGCCGGCGCCCACGACGCGGGCCUGGACGACGAGGCGGGUGCGGGCGGCGGCGGCUUGGACGGCGCGGGCGGCGAGCUCAAGCGCCUCUGCUUCCAGGACGCGGGCGGCGGCGCCGGGGGGCCGCCAGGGGGCGCGGGCGGCGCGGGCGGCACGUGGUGGCGCCGCUGGCAGCCCCGUGUGUGGGCGCUCUUCGAGGACCCCUACUCGUCGCGGGCCGCCAGGUAUGUAGCCUUCGCCUCCCUCUUCUUCAUCCUCAUCUCCAUAACCACCUUCUGCCUGGAGACCCAUGAAGGCUUCAUCCACAUCAGCAACAAGACGGUGACACAGGCCUCCCCGAUCCCCGGGGCUCCACCAGAGAACAUCACCAAUGUGGAGGUGGAGACGGAGCCCUUCCUGACCUAUGUGGAGGGCGUGUGUGUGGUCUGGUUCACCUUCGAGUUCCUCAUGCGCAUCACCUUCUGCCCCGACAAGGUGGAAUUUCUCAAGAGCAGCCUCAACAUCAUCGACUGUGUGGCCAUCUUGCCCUUCUAUCUCGAGGUGGGCCUCUCAGGCCUCAGCUCCAAGGCUGCUAAAGACGUGCUGGGCUUCCUGCGGGUUGUCCGCUUUGUCCGAAUCCUUCGCAUCUUCAAGCUCACGCGCCACUUUGUGGGGCUGCGCGUGCUGGGCCACACACUCCGUGCCAGUACCAACGAGUUCCUGCUGCUCAUCAUCUUCCUGGCGCUGGGCGUGCUCAUCUUCGCUACCAUGAUCUACUACGCGGAGCGCAUCGGCGCUGACCCUGAUGACAUCCUGGGCUCCAACCACACCUACUUCAAGAACAUCCCCAUCGGCUUCUGGUGGGCCGUGGUCACCAUGACGACCCUGGGCUACGGAGACAUGUACCCCAAGACGUGGUCGGGGAUGCUGGUCGGGGCACUGUGUGCCCUGGCGGGGGUGCUCACCAUCGCCAUGCCCGUGCCCGUCAUUGUCAACAACUUUGGCAUGUACUAUUCGCUGGCCAUGGCCAAGCAGAAGCUGCCCAAGAAGAAGAACAAACAUAUCCCCCGCCCCCCACAGCCCGGCUCUCCAAACUACUGCAAGCCCGACCCUCCCCCGCCCCCCCCGCACCACCCCCACCACGGCAGCGGUGGCAUCAGCCCCCCGCCCCCCAUCACCCCACCUUCCGUGGGGGUGACUGUGGCUGGGGCCUACCCACCGGGCCCCCACACGCACCCCGGGCUGCUCAGGGGGGGAGCGGGUGGGCUCGGGAUCAUGGGGCUGCCUCCUCUGCCAGCCCCUGGGGAGCCUUGCCCAUUGGCUCAGGAGGAAGUCAUUGAGAUCAACCGGGCAGAUCCACGCCCCAACGGGGACCCUGCCGCAGCUGCGCUUGCCCACGAGGACUGCCCAGCCAUCGACCAGCCCGCCAUGUCCCCGGAAGACAAGAGCCCCAUCACCCCCGGGAGCCGAGGACGCUAUAGCCGGGACCGAGCCUGCUUCCUCCUCACCGACUAUGCCCCUUCCCCUGAUGGCUCCAUCCGGAAAGACUGGCGUAAGCCAGGUCCCCCAAGCUUCUUGCCCGACCUCAACGCCAACGCUGCAGCCUGGAUAUCCCCCUAGCGGACGAAUCCCCUCCCCCCGGGCUCUUGUCACCGCCUGAGACCUCGCGAGACCCUCGGUCCCCCCCUGCCCCUUCCCCCCAGGUUACGAGAAAUCCCGCAGCCUGAGCAGCAUCGCGGGCCUGAGCGGGGUGUCCCUGCGCCUGGCGCCCCUUGCCACUCCCCCUGGUUCUCCCAGGGCCGCCCGCCGCGCUCCCCCAACCCUGCCCUCCAUCCUCUAGCGCUCCCCUCCCCCCCGUGGGGGGACUCGGGGGUGACAGGGAAGAAGGUCAAAGGAGCUGGGGGUGGGGGGUGGGGGAAAGGGUUUUUUUUAAAAAAAAAAAUCAAAAAGUCAUUAAUAAUAUGCAACCGAGACGACGACGCCAGCAGACACCCCCGGACCCCUCACCCCCACCUGGGCUCCCAGGAUGGAGGGGGAGGAGCCAAAGUCCAGCCCCCCCAACUCUCCACUCCCCCACUCCCAAAUAAAGCCUUCUCAGGUCUCCAUGAGCCAUAGGACUUCCCGCUCCCAUAAACUCCUGUAAAUACGUCCAAAUUAUGCCAAUUACAUUUUGGGGCGCCUCUCCCCUACUCUGCAUGCCUCUCUCAACCUGGACCCCGCCCCCAACUCCACCUCAGCAAUAAGCCGCCAGGGGCUGCAUGCCACGCGAAUGAGGGAAGGGGCAUUCUGGGAAGGGGGCGGGGACCUCAAGGGAGUCGGGCUGGCCUUUAAGCCACGGGUGGGUAUCCUAGCCUCCUACCCUUCACCCCAGGAGGGCAACCCAUCACAUUGAUGUAAAAAAUAUAUAUAUUAGCAACAGUGUGCGGGAAGGAGGAACAGUCACUAAAGCCCCCAAAACGAGCUGAGCUCAGAUGGUAGAAGCAGAGGCACAGGGCUGUGCUGUGGACAGCUGCUCCCUCAGCCUUUAGGAGGAUCCCUCUGGUGGAUGUGACCCUUUCAUCCCUCCCCAGACCCCCUCCCCCACCAAGGGAUCUGCUCGCCUCCAUUCUUGCUGCAUGGACUCAGACCUCCCAUCUCAGAAUUUCUGGGAGGAUCUAGCCCGAGCACACAAAAUUCCCCAACACCCCCUCCAGAUUACCAGGACAUGAGACCUGCACCCAGAAUUCCUGAGACCAACCCUGGCACCCCGCAUCCCCUAAAUCCCCACAGGGUCCUGGGACUUAACCUCUGCAUACAGAUGCUGCCCCCCAAGCCCCUCCCCACCCAUUGCCUGGACUGCAUCCCAGCACCUCAAACCUCCAAGACUUGACCCAGCCCUUCGGUUCCCUUUCAGCCUCUGGGAUGCUCCAAGUCCUUCCCACUUGGACAUUUCUUGGACGCCACCAAAUCCUCAGGCCUCCCCCCCUCCACAUAUCCCCAAAUCCCUGACAUCAGACAUCCACCUCAGGUUCUCCCGAUGCUAGAAUUUCCAAGAUAGGCUCAACCUGUCCGCAAUUCCAGGGAACCAGCCUUCCCCCGGGCAUCCCCUUUCUUAUGCCUAGCCCUGCCUCUUCCAAGAGCCCCUCUCCUUAAAUGGUGCCCCAAAGGGACCCUCUUAAUGGACAUCAGUGUUUCCCAGAGGGUUGUAUUUGUACCCCUGGUGAUGUGCUAAGGUUUUAGGCAGUACAACGACACUUAAUCUAAAAAGUUUUGUCCGUUAUGGCAUCUUGCACAGAAGCCGGUAAGUCCAGAUACUGCUGCCUGGCCCAGACACCGUUUCUUUAGGGUAGAGUGUUUCCACUUACAGCAGAGGCUGUGCUCCCGUCAAGGGAUACUGGAACAUCAGAAGCUUGGGAAACGACAAACCUACCGGGGCUGGGAUCCCAGCCCGCCCUUCCCCGGCAUUCCUCGUCCUGCCAUGUUCGCGGGUGGAAGAUCAUUUGUCAUAUCCCAUCCUGGCUCAAGGAUGCGCUACCUCCCCCAAGCCCAGAGACCACACCGGUCCCAGAAUCCUUAGAGGGGACCCCCCCUUUUGGAGCUGGAGGCCCACGGAAUUAGCAACCUUCCUCCCUCUGCUCCCACGGCCUCAGGAACCCCCCACCCACCCGAGGGUUGGGGGGGUGUCACUGAGCACGAUUCUUGAUGCAACGAUUCCUAUGCAAGGGGCAUUUUGAGUCCCCCCCCAUCCUUCCCUCGGACCCUAAACCCUGACGAAUCAGGGGUGAGGGGUGGGGCAGGUUCUGGUGGGAGCGGGGUGGGGCGAGGCAAAGGGCUAGGGACUCCAGACACCAGGGUAUGGGGGUGGGGACUGAUUACGUUGCCAAAGGGUUUAACUUCUUUAAAAAAAAAAAAAAAAAAAAAGCCCCCAGAUUCCCCUGACCCUCACGGAAGCCGAACAGUGCGGGGAAAGGGGGUGAGGAUUUUUCCAAAGGGUACAGACCUCUUCCCAACGUCUCCCCCCUGCUCGCCAAUCUGCCACACGUACCCAGCUUUUUAGUUCAGCUUUUAAAAAUAAUCACAAUCAUAACCCUUUACAGAACGUGACUCACGUCCUUCACCACCGCCCCCAUCCCCCAAGUCAACAGUGUGGGAUUCGGGGAGGAAGAGAGAGCGCUAAAGGGACAACUUCCAAGUCCCGCUCCCCUUUUCUCCCCGGCCGCCAGGGUGCCUGCAACUAUACGCAUGCGCUGCAUGACGCGCUCCCCACACGCAUGUCGCGCCCCUCCUGCGCUCCGCGAACGCACGGACACGGGGCGGGGGGCGGGGCGAUUGGGGAGGAACGAACAGCGGGGGUCUUCCUGAGUUCAGCGGCUCCUCCUCCCCAUCACACACACAGCAAUAAGAUUCUCUCACUCAAAUGUGGGCGGGGCGGGCCUGGCCUGUCGCAGUGGGAGGUGGGAGGAGUGGCGAGGGGGCGCUCUCAGGGAUGGGGGCGGGUGUCCGGAGUCAGUGUGGGGAGGGGAGGUCUGCAAAUCGUCCAACUCUGGUGCUAAUGGCGGGUCUUCUCAGCCCACCCCCAGGGCAGGGAGGGAGGGGUCGGUAUGGCCCCUCCCCCAAGUCUCUCCCACGCCCACCCUGGGUGCAUGAACCGCCCAAUGCAGAAGCUGCCGCAUGUCACCUGCCCUCCCCAAAGAAAAAGUGUCAUGCCCCCUUCCCACCCACCC